UACGGAGGGAGCUAGCGUUGUUCGGAAUUACUGGGCGUAAAGCGCGCGUAGGCGGCUUUGUAAGUUAGAGGUGAAAGCCCGGGGCUCAACCCCGGAACAGCCUUUAAGACUGCAUCGCUAGAAUCCGGGAGAGGUGAGUGGAAUUCCGAGUGUAGAGGUGAAAUUCGUAGAUAUUCGGAAGAACACCAGUGGCGAAGGCGGCUCACUGGCCCGUUACCGACGCUCAGGCGCGACAGCGUGGGGAGCAAACAGG
rnacentral:rRNA from 1 species